rnacentral:tRNA from 1 species
AUUUAUAUAGUUUAAAUAAAACAUUACAUUUUCAAUGUAAAAUUAAAACUAAGUUUUUUUAAAUA